rnacentral:rRNA from 1 species
UACGUAGGGUGCGAGCGUUAAUCGGAAUACUGGGCGUAAAGCGUGCGCAGGCGGUGAUGUAAGACAGAUGUGAAAUCCCCGGGCUCAACCUGGGAACUGCAUUUGUGACUGCAUGGCUGGAGUGCGGCAGAGGGGGAUGGAAUUCCGCGUGUAGCAGUGAAAUGCGUAGAUAUGCGGAGGAACACCGAUGGCGAAGGCAAUCCCCUGGGCCUGCACUGACGCUCAUGCACGAAGCGUGGGGAGCAAACAGG